AGUGUUUUACAGAUGUUCCUUUCUCUGAUGUCCACAAAUGUCUCUGGUCCACCAGGCCAUGGGAUGGCUUCAUCAGUGACAGAUGAAUUAUCUACAGGUCAUGGAUUCCUUCCAAUUCUUCUCAUCUUUCUCCACAAGUAUGACUGACUCAGAGUUACCUCUGGAGAUGUGGACUUGGUGAUUAAUUGCUAUGAUAGCUUUGUUAGAGAUUGCUCUACUGAACUCCAGCAGCUGUGCUUGAAGACAAAUGAGCUGCACAAAAAAAAAUUAUCCCGGCUCAGACUGACAGUUCCCGGUGAGCUACCUAACUUAUUAGUCUAAAAGCAGAAGAGAAUUUUUCACCAAAGACGAAAAGUAACCUAAAAUACACAUUUGAACAAUCCAAGGGGAAAUAACAUUCACAGUUCUUAAAGAGGAGAAGGGUGCUGACGUCAAUUAAAGCUUGAAAAAAUUGGCUUCCGAGCAUCACUUCUGUUUUGGCCGUUAAAACUUUACUUAAAGAAGUAUAUAACAACAACAGGUGGAUGUUAAAAAAAUCUGUACAUGUGGUUCUAUGUGGGAUUUUGGGCCAAAGUCUCUACCAAAAAUAGUCCAAAAUUGUGUUUGACAACUAAGGUCUGAAUAAAGAACAGUAUAAUAACCGUACAUUGUC